UACAGAGGUCCCAAGCGUUGUUCGGAUUCAUUGGGCGUAAAGAGCUCGUAGGCGGCUGUUCAAGUCGAACGUGAAAACUCGGAGCUCAACUCCGAGCCUGCGUUCGAUACUGGACGGCUAGAGUCUGGUAGGGGGAUCUGGAAUUCCUGGUGUAGCGGUGGAAUGCGCAGAUAUCAGGAGGAACACCGGUGGCGAAGGCGGGUCUCUGGGCCGAUACUGACGCUGAGGAGCGAAAGCGUGGGGAGCGAACAGG
rnacentral:rRNA from 1 species